AUUGAACGCUGGCGGCAGGCCUAACACAUGCAAGUCGAACGGUAACAGGAAACAGCUUGCUGUUUCGCUGACGAGUGGCGGACGGGUGAGUAAUGUCUGGGAAACUGCCUGAUGGAGGGGGAUAACUACUGGAAACGGUAGCUAAUACCGCAUAACGUCGCAAGACCAAAGAGGGGGACCCUCGGGCCUCUUGCCAUCGGAUGUGCCCAGAUGGGACUAGCUUGUUGGUGGGGUAACGGCUCACCAAGGCGACGAUCCCUAGCUGGUCUGAGAGGAUGACCAGCCACACUGGAACUGAGACACGGUCCAGACUCCUACGGGAGGCAGCAGUGGGGAAUAUUGCACAAUGGGCGCAAGCCUGAUGCAGCCAUGCCGCGUGUAUGAAGAAGGCCUUCGGGUUGUAAAGUACUUUCAGCGGGGAGGAAGGGAGUAAAGUUAAUACCUUUGCUCAUUGACGUUACCCGCAGAAGAAGCACCGGCUAACUCCGUGCCAGCAGCCGCGGUAAUACGGAGGGUGCAAGCGUUAAUCGGAAUUACUGGGCGUAAAGCGCACGCAGGCGGUUUGUUAAGUCAGAUGUGAAAUCCCCGGGCUCAACCUGGGAACUGCAUCUGAUACUGGCAAGCUUGAGUCUCGUAGAGGGGGGUAGAAUUCCAGGUGUAGCGGUGAGAUGCGUAGAGAUCUGGAGGAAUACCGGUGGCGAAGGCGGCCCCCUGGACGAAGACUGACGCUCAGGUGCGAAAGCGUGGGGAGCAAACAGGAUUAGAUACCCUGGUAGUCCACGCCGUAAACGAUGUCGACUUGGAGGUUGUGCCCUUGAGGCGUGGCUUCCGGAGCUAACGCGUUAAGUCGACCGCCUGGGGAGUACGGCCGCAAGGUUAAAACUCAAAUGAAUUGACGGGGGCCCGCACAAGCGGUGGAGCAUGUGGUUUAAUUCGAUGCAACGCGAAGAACCUUACCUGGUCUUGACAUCCACGGAAGUUUUCAGAGAUGAGAAUGUGCCUUCGGGAACCGUGAGACAGGUGCUGCAUGGCUGUCGUCAGCUCGUGUUGUGAAAUGUUGGGUUAAGUCCCGCAACGAGCGCAACCCUUAUCCUUUGUUGCCAGCGGUCCGGCCGGGAACUCAAAGGAGACUGCCAGUGAUAAACUGGAGGAAGGUGGGGAUGACGUCAAGUCAUCAUGGCCCUUACGACCAGGGCUACACACGUGCUACAAUGGCGCAUACAAAGAGAAGCGACCUCGCGAGAGCAAGCGGACCUCAUAAAGUGCGUCGUAGUCCGGAUUGGAGUCUGCAACUCGACUCCAUGAAGUCGGAAUCGCUAGUAAUCGUGGAUCAGAAUGCCACGGUGAAUACGUUCCCGGGCCU
rnacentral:rRNA from 1 species